CCAAAAAUCCACAUUCUUAAAAGUCUUUUUGGCCACUGCAGGAGUACAGAGUACUGCAGGAUACACACACAUAUACACACACGCCAACACACACACACACACACACACACACACACACACACACACACACACACACACACACACACUCAGAGUCUGGUUUUUAGCACCUGCAAAAACAUGCUGUUUACAUAUUUGACAAGAAUGCAGAGGCUUCCUUUUGCCCCUGAAAAAAAUCUAAUUUCAAACACAACUUGACUGUUCAUUUCUCCAAAAGACAACCAUGAAGCUCCAUCCAAACCUGAAGCAGAUAGUUGGUGCAUGUGUACAGUAACCUGAGGGGAGUGAGGUGACUAUUUCUGAGGAGAACAUGAGCAGUGAAGAUUCACCUUGGAGCUAGAACAGGGACGUGCACAUGAUUAUACAGGGGCAGGGGCUCAACUUUUUUCCAGUCAUUUAUACAAUAUGGAAAUUAAUGUGAAAUUAAAAAACAAAGUAUUAAUAGAAAGGUUAUGACUGUCCUGUGUAGAUGACAGUGAUAUCCAAUAGGCUAGGCACUCACGAGGCUGGCUGUGGCAAGUGUAAGUGAAAGCAACACGCACUGGCAGGAAGAACAGCAAACGCCGAUGAAGGAAAGGGUCUUUGCAGUGAUGGGCGUUACCAGAGAGGACGAUGGCCAGAGGACGCGAAUGGGACGGGGAGGCAGCGCGUUGGGGGGGGCAGCGCGACACGGCUCGGGCCCGCCAGUGCCCCAACGGGGCCCUAGUUCUUCUUAUUUUUCCUCCCCUUUGAAGGGGAAAAUGGCCCACUUCCCACUGGCGAAAACUCAUGAAAUUUGGCAGGACGACCGGGCCUGGUGAAAAAUUCGAUAUUCUGAAGUCGCCCAAACAAGAAAAUGCAAAAUGGCUCAAUAGCGCCCCCAAAGGUGAAAAUUCACACUAUUGACUGUCACGCCUGUACGCUUUGUCAUAUUGACACAAAAAUUGACACACACAUGUAUCUCAAUAAGAUCUACAAAAAAGUCAGUGCGGGCGUAUCUGUCAAAUGUACAGUUAAAGGGUUAUUUCGCAUUUUUUGCCGUUCCGCACACAUUGGAAUUUCGCUAACUCCUCCGAAGGCUUUCGUUCCACCAGCACUACAUUUGCUCAGGCCAAUCUACACCCCAUGGCCAUUGAAAGUUGUACAAAUCAUGACGCUGCACCCCACGGUUUACGUUCUAGGGGGCGCCAAAGAUAACCCACAAAUCCACAUUCUUAAAAAUCUUAUAACUUUUUAUUUUUGUCCUCAUUGGCCUCCAAGUUUUCUAGGAUGAUGCAAUGUCCAGCCAUCAACACAUUUGUGAAGGAAUUUUUACUCCCCAAAACAGCGCCCCCCAUGGCAGGACAAAAAAGGCCAUUAGGGCCCGAGCGUAGCUGCUAAGCAGCUGCGAGAGCCCUCUUGUUCCUGCAUGUUUCCUUCUUUUGUUAUUAUUAGGGCCCGAGCCAGCUGCAGAGCAGCCGGGCGUAGGCCCUAUUAUUCCCCAAGUGGUUUUUCUUUGUUUCUUUCUUUCUUUUUUCUUUUUCCUCCCCUUUGAACUGGAAAAUGGCCCACUUCCCACUGGCGAAAACUCAUGAAAUUUGGCAGGACGACCGGGCCUGGUGAAAAAUUUGAUAUUCCGAAGUCGCCCAAACAAGAAAAUGCAAAAUGGCUCCAUAGCGCCCCCUAAGGUGAAAAUUCACACUAUUGACUGUCACGCCUGUACGCUUUGUCAAAAUGACACAAAAAUUGACACACACAUGUAUCUCAAUAAGAUCUACAAAAAAGUCAGUGCGGGCGUAUCUGUCAAAUGUACGGUUAAAGGGUUAUUUCGCAUUUUUUGCCGAUCCGCACACAUUGGAAUUUCGCUAACUCCUCCGAAGGCUUUCGUUCCACCGGCACCACAUUUGCUCAGGCCAAUCUACACCCCAUGGCCAUUAAAAGUUAUCAAAAUCAUGACGCUGCACCCCAAGGUUUAGGUUCUAGGGGGCGCCAAAGAUAACACUAAAAUCCACAUAUUUAAAAGUCUUAUAACUUUUUAUUUUUGUCCUCACUGGCCUCCAAGUUUUCUAGGAUGAUGCAAUGUCCAGCCAUCAACACAUUUGUGAAGGAAUUUUUACUCCCCAAAAGAGCGCCCCCCCAUGGCAGGAGAAAAAAGUCAAUUUUUUCUUGUCCCCUAAGGUGAAAAUACACAUUGUUGAGUGUCACGCCUAUACGCUUUGUCAAAAUGACACAAAAAUUGACACACACAUGUAACUCAAUAAGAUCUACAAAAAAGUCAAAGAGCGCGUAUCUGUCAAAUGUACAGUUAAAGGGUUAUUCCGCAUUUUUUGCCGAUACGCACACAUUGGAAUUUCGCUAACUCCUCCGAAGGCUUUCGUUCCACCGGCACCACAUUUGCUCAGGCCAAUCUACACCCCAUGGCCAUUAAAAGUUAUUCAAAUCAUGAUGCUGCACCCCAAGGUUUAGGUUCUAGGGGGCGCCAAAAAUAACCCAAAAAUCCACAUUCUUAAAUGUUUUAUAACUUUUUAUUUUUGUCCUCACUGGCCUCCAAGUUUUCUAGGAUGAUGCAAUGUCCAGCCAUCAACACAUUUGUGAAGGAAUUUUUACUCCCCAAAAGAGCGCCCCCCCAUGGUAGGAGAAAAAAGUCAAUUUUUUCUUGUCCCCUUACAUGAAAAUACACAUUGUUGAGUGUCACGCCUGAACGCUUUGUCAUAUUGACACAAAAAUUGACAAUCAUGUGUAUCUCAAUUAGAUCUACGAAAAAGUCAAAGAGCGCGUAUCUUUAUAAUGUACGGUUAAAGGGCUAUUUUGCAUUUUUUGCCGAUUCGCACACAUUGGAAUGUGGCUAUCUCCUCCUAAGGCUUUCGUCCCACCGAUACCAAAUUUGCUCAGGGCAAUCUACACCCCAUGCCCAUUCAAAGUUGUAAAAAUCAUGACGCUGCACCCCACGGUUUACGUUCUAGGGGGCGCCAAAGAUGACCCAAAAAUCCACAUUCUUAAAAGUCAUUUUGGCCACUGCAGGAGUACAGAGUACUGCAGUUCUAGGGGGCGCCAAAGAUGACCCAAAAAUCCACAUUCUUAAAAGUCUUUUUGGCCACUGCAGGAGUACAGAGUACUGCAGGAUACACACACAUAUACACACACGCCAACAUACACACACACACACACACACACACACACACAGACACACACACACACUCAGAGUCUGUUUUUUAGCACCUGCAAAAACAUGCUGUUUACAUAUUUGACAAGAAUGCAGAGGCUUCCUUUUGCCCCUGAAAAAAAUCAGAUUUCAAACACAACUUGACUGUUCAUUUCUCCAAAAGACAACCAUGAAGCUCCAUCCAAACCUGAAGCAGAUAGUUGGUGCAUGUGUACAGUAACCUGAGGAGAGUGAGGUGACUAUUUCUGAGGAGAACAUGAGCAGUGAAGAUUCACCUUGGAGCUAGAACAGGGACGUGCACAUGAUUAUACAGGGGCAGGGGCUCAAGUUUUUUCCAGUCAUUUAUACAAUAUGGAAAUUAAUGUGAAAUUAAACCACAAAUAUGUGUGAUGAACUGUUUUUAAAACUUAAACUUCAAAUAAAAAUUGUAAACUUCAAAACAUAUGCAAAUUUGUAACAAAGAACAUAGUAAUUUACCUCUAUUUACAUCAAAAUGCAGGCAAUGGCCCAGGCGUUCUUUGUAAAAUUAUUUACAAAACACUGUAUAGUCUCACAAAUGUCACUUUUUAUUUAUGCCACUACAAAAAAACAUGAUGUAAAUGAUGCAUGAUGUAAAACAUGAUGUAAAAAACUUGUGUAGAUCCUCCUCUAUGUCAGUCCAUGUGUAAUUUUUCCAUAAUUCUUUGUUUUUUGCAGCAUUUUUGUUAGUGUAACUGCAGAUUGUGCUGACUGUCUAUGGCAAAAAAAAAAAAACUGAAAAUGCCUCAACAUGAACCCCUGGUGGUCUCUGAGGGUGAAACCUGCUAACUGCUGCAGCUCUGUCAGCUUCUGUCUCCCAUGCAGAGCUCGGAGCGCAUGUGUGGCUCUGCACCCUUAGCAGCGUUGCUAACUCCUCAGUAAGGAAAGCCUGCUUCAUGUCAGAGUCUCUAAACUCCAGAAGAAGUCGAUAAAAGUCCCUUUCUUUCUAAAAAAAAGUCGUUAGGGGGUCUGAAAAGUCAUUGAAUCUAACAACAAAGUCGCUAGGUUUGCAACUACGUGUCCCAGACUGCAUCCCUGCUGAGAGUCCCUCCCUCCCUUCUCAUGUUGCAGGAAGAACGUAAGCGCCCGCCCCUUGUCAAUCAGUCACCAUAUAAUUUUGGAUUGGUUGUUGUGGUGAAGUUUUCCACCAAUAGGAGAGAUGUUGUGGUGUGUUUUUUUUUUCUUUUGGCAAGCCUUUUCCGCCUGUAUGACCUGUCACUAAUGUGUGCAUGCAAUGUUUUCCUGUCUCAUACAGCACGAUCGAGCGCCGAACGUGAUCAAAAUAAGCAGAAAAAAAGUAUCGCGGACAUAAUUUAUCAUAACUCUGGUUUUAUUUGGC
rnacentral:lncRNA from 1 species